rnacentral:rRNA from 1 species
AUACGUAGGGGACGAGCGUUGUCCGGAAUUACUGGGCGUAAAGGGCGCGCAGGCGGAUAUUUAAGUCAGCUGUAAAAGGCAUGAGCUCAACUCAUGUAUGCGGUUGAAACUGGGUAUCUAGAGUGCUGGAGAGGUAGGCGGAAUUCCCGGUGUAGCGGUGAAAUGCGUAGAUAUCGGGAAGAACACCAGUGGCGAAGGCGGCUUACUGGCCAGCAACUGACGCUGAGGCGCGAAAGCCGGGGGAGCGAACGGGAUUAGAUCCCCCGGUAGUCCUGGCCGUAAACGAUGAAUGCUAGGUGUGGGUGUCGAGAGGCAUCCGUGCCGGAGUUAACGCGAUAAGCAUACCGCCUGGGGAGUGCGGUCGCAAGAUUGAAACUCAAAUGAAUUGACGGGG